rnacentral:sRNA from 1 species
GGAGUCGAGGUUUUCUGUCGGCUUGCAGGUUUUUCCUGUGUUUGUCCUCUGCCCUGCCAAGGCCAUAGAGCUGCUACUCUCCUCUGCAAGGCCUACCGUGGGGGCCACUUAACCAUCCGCCUUGCCCUGGGUGGCUGCACCAACCGGCCCUUCUACCGCAUUGUGGCUGCUCACAACAAGUGUCCCAGGGAUGGCCGUUUCGUAGAGCAGCUGGGCUCCUAUGAUCCAUUGCCCAACAGUCAUGGAGAAAAACUCGUUGCCCUCAACUUAGACAGGAUCCGUCAUUGGAUUGGCUGCGGGGCCCACCUCUCUAAGCCUAUGGAAAAGCUUCUGGGUCUUGCUGGCUUUUUCCCUCUGCAUCCUAUGAUGAUCACAAAUGCUGAGAGACUGCGAAGGAAACUGGCACGUGAAGUCCUGUUAGCUUCUCAGAAAACAGAUGCAGAAGCUACAGAUGCAGAGGCUACAGAAACAUAAAUGAGCUGACUUUAGUGAGCACAGCAGUGGGAACAAGGUCAAGGUCCUUUUGAAACACUGCAGAGAUCUUAAUUUUGUUAGAUUUGGAGUUCAAUAAAUGGAGUAUCC